rnacentral:rRNA from 1 species
UACGUAGGGGGGCAAGCGUUGUCCGGAUUUAUUGGGCGUAAAGAGCGUGUAGGCGGCCAGACAGGUCCGUUGUGAAAACUCGAGGCUCAACCUCGAGACGCCGAUGGAAACCGUCUGGCUAGAGUCCGGAAGAGGAGGGUGGAAUUCCUGGUGUAGCGGUGAAAUGCGCAGAUAUCAGGAGGAACACCGGUGGCGAAGGCGGUGGUCUGGGGCCGGAACUGACGCUGAGGGAGCGAAAAGCGUGGGGGGAGCGAAACAGGG